AAAGGGCGAGUUUAGAAGGAGACCCUUUAGGAGCUGGUUGCGGAAUUCAAGGGAGCAAUGAUAAAUGCCUGAACGAAAACUGGGAGGUGGGCAAUGGAGAUACGAUACCAGAUUAGGGAGACUGAGGAGGGUAUAUUGAUUUGGGAGGGGGGUGAGUGGAAGGGAGCGAGCCUGGGUGUGAAUGACCAGCAAGGGUCUUUUCUCUUUGUUCUUUUUUUUUUUUAAGAGAGAGGAAGAACAGGUUUGAAGAGGGACGAUAUUAAGUCAUGUGAAGUGUCCACUGGCUAUCCGGCAGACAAGCGCUUAUACCAGAGGAGCGCUAACACUGUUUUGGCAACCAUAUUGGAAGCAGGACCACGCUUUAUGCUAUUUAGUUCAUCAAGGAAUUACUCACCAAGGUAGACAUGCAGUAUGUUUCCCAACCACCGAGCAAAUAACAGGAGGAAAGAGAACGUGAAGAACCAAUGGGGACUCUUAUUUUUUCAUAGCACACCAGAGUUUAUUACGUAGUGGGGUCCAACGAUGCCCAUAGGAUGGUCCCAUCGCACUUUUAUUGGCAACCUCUUUGUGUGAUUUUUAGCACAGUACCUAAGAAUGGAGACUGAUCACGUGGCUGUUUAUUUUCUUAUUGGAAUGGUACUCCUUCUCACUUUGUAAUGGGGAAAAGACAACAUGGUUUUGCUGAAUUUCUCAACAUGAAUUCAAUUCAGAGUUCGUACUUAUCUAGCGCCAAUUCAAAGGAUCAGUAGGUAAUCUGGGAAGCAGAGAGCUUCUCCAGCAUCUGGAGCUCUGUUGCCUCUCCCAGAAGGGAUUAUGUGCAGCCUACCACUUUUCCUUCCCAUCCAGAUUCCCUUCUCCCAGAUCAGCUCUGCAUAUAACCAGCGAGGCAGAAGGCAGGUUACACCUGGACGGCUCAGACGAGGAAGCACUGACAGCUGAGGAGCGGCCGCUUGACCAUUCGUCAUAUGAGCUCAACGAUGCCCUCAUCCUUGGGCUGAACCCCCCACUGCCCAAUAUGACUCAAUGUUAUCCAAUCACAUUCGUCUUUGAAAACAGCCCCGGGCUCUCUAAUUUGAACUGAUUCUUGAGCCAAAGAUCCAGGCCAUUUGCAAAGAUCUUGGCAACAGGAGCCUCAGCUGUCAACAAGCAGAAACACUGAGUUAACAUGAAUACAUUCAAUGAAGUGAAAUUAGGGGCAAGUCCAUUUUCUAAAUCCUACAUCAAGACUUCUGACAUACUCGAUGGUGUUUUGGAUGGAAUCUGGCUCUCUUAAGGAUAAAUCUCCCCAAAGAGUAAAAAUCUUGGUUUUGGACUCCACUGAUGAGAAAUUCAGAAAGGAGAGUGACAGAAGUUUACUCUCUUAUAUUAUCUAAGAGAAAGCACUUUGCUAAGAAAAGAGUCAUAAGUGAAAAAACCAUUGCACUUAAAAGUCAGAAGAGAUUCUGGUGCAUAUGCUCUACUAUCUGAUACUGAGACAGGACACUUUUAUGAGCUCUUAUAUUUCACUGGCUUUAUGGUCUUCCUUGUCUCCACUUUCCCAGCUGUUACCUAGGUCCAGGAUUAUUGCAGGACAUAAAACAGGAGCAACACAAAGUCAAUGGUAAUUUUUUGUAAAGGCUCAGAGUGACUAAAGGGAAGUCGGGCAUAAAUUCUAGAGUGCUGAAGUUUCGCCUUAAUUGUUCUACCUGUCUUAUUCCCUGGCAUCUCCCAAUAAACCAGUGCUGAGCACAGAGAGAAAGCACAUUGACGUACAUCAAUAAAUGUAAGAAAGUCCUAUGCAUAUGAUGACGAACCUUGUCUUCAGAAAUCUAACUUCUUCCUCUAAAAGAAAUGGCACAAAAUAACAGAUUCAGGAAGUAAUUACCAUGCAGCACUGAGACUGACCAUUAAAACGAAAGAUUCCUGAACACCACAGAAGGUCAGAAGUGAGUUCAGUUUACUCUUGCAGCUAGUUCUCGAUGGUUGUGCUUCUCCUCCUGUGGUCCAUCUCAGUGGCAUUACUUCUAUACAGUUUUCAAGUCAAGAGCCUUGAAAUUAUUUUCCCCUUCUUCGCCCUCUUACCCUCUAUCACCUAGCAUGACACAAAAUCUUCCUAAAUCUUCCUCACAUGUGCCCCAUCUGUUUGGAUGUCGUGUCCUCAUUACUUUUCUCCUGGAUUAUUUCAAGAAUCUCUAUUUGAAUGGACCUCCCACUUUCAUGGAUCACCCACUCUAGAGUCAGAGAAACUUCUCUCUGAGAAAUUGCUCUCAAAGCAAAGGUGAUAGUUUACAUUUCCCCUGUUCAAAACUUUGCAAUGGCUCGGCUCGGCUGCACGUCCAAAUUUUCAGCAAGACAAUAUUUCUCUUCCUCCACUAGUAUCUGUCUCCUUUUCCAAAUUUAGGUGUGAUAUUCACUCUUCCUUAUACUUUCAGUCCUUCUGGAUUAAUUGGAAUUCCUCGAAAAUGUCUUCCAUCAAUUAAUUCAUCUCUCCAUUUAUUAAAUAUCUGCUAAAUCCACUGUUUAUUAAGGAUAUAAUAUGGUCAGGGAUAUGAAGAAUAUGCUUUGCAAUUUUCUAAAAUGAGUUUACAGUUAUAGUUUAAAGUAAAUGGCUAUGAUGCAGCAUGAUAAAUAAUUUCCCUAGAGAGGGGAGUUAGAUGGGGUAGUCAGAUAAAUUUUCCUACAUUAUGACACCUGAGCUGAAUCUUGAGUGAUGAGUAGCAAUAACUAGACAAAGACAUAAGAAAGAGGAAAUGGAAAGCACUUCCAGAUAGAGGAAGAAGUAUUCACACAGGUACUGAGGCCAGAGAAAUCAAGGUUUUUCAGGGCUCGGAUGGUUGAAUGAGUUAGUUGUGGAUUGUAUGUUCAAGGCUCUUGAGAAAAACAGAACAAAUAGGUAUAUACAGAGAGAUUGUUUUAAGGAAUUGACUCAAGUAUAAAAUCUGCAGGGUGGGCUGGUCAUCUGGAGACCUGAAGAAAAGCUGAUGCCGCAGUUCAAGUCUAAAGGCUGUUGAUCCAAACAAGAGUCAGUGUUACAUCUCACUCCAAGGGCUAUAAAGCUGGAGUCCUGGAAAGGGCUGAGUCAACAUUGCAACUGAAGCCUGAAUGUCUGAACUGAAUUCUGCUGGCAGAAUUUCCUCUUGCUUGGGGGAGGUCGGUCUUUUGUUCCAUUCGGUCCUUCAACUGAUCGGAUGUGGCCCACAUGUAUUACAGAAGGCUAAUGCAAUGUCUGCUUUACUCAACGUCUACCAAUUUAAAGGUAAAUCUUAGUGAAAUAAGCCUGAUAUACAAGGACAUAUGCUACACAAUACCACUUACAUAGGGAAGCUAAAAUAGUCCAGCAGAGGGGCAGAAAGGAGAAUGGUGGUUGUCAGGGGCCAGCAGAGGAAAAAUGGGGGUUAGUCGAGAGAGAGUAAGUUUCAUUAUACAGGAUGAACAAGUCCUAGAGAUAUACUUACAGCAUAGCUUCUAUAGUUACCAAUCCUUCACUGCAUAUUUAAAAUUUGCUGAGGGUAGAUCUGAUGCUAAGUAUUCUUACCAUAAAAAUAUAAUAAAUAAAGAAUAAGGGUGGAACUUUUGGAGGUGAUGUAUAUGUUUUUGGCAUAAACUGUGGUGAUCAUUUAUGGAUAUAUUUAUCUCCAAACUCAUCAGUUUCUAUACAUUAAAUACGUACAGCUUUUUAUGGCAAUCAUGUCUCAAUUCAAUGGUUUUGAAAAUGUCUCAUUCAAAUCAUUCUUCAUGGAAACAUCCAAAAUAAUGUAUGACCAAAUAUCUAGGCACUUAUGGCUCAUUCAAAGUGACACACAAAAUUUACCAUCUUGGAAUAAAGCUGAACUCAAGUUUAGAAAGGGCCAUAUUCUGAAUGCCAUACUUGGGAAUUUGCACUUCCAAUCGGAGAUCAGAUGGAAUCACUGAAGUGUUGUAAGCAGAAAGUCACUUGAGAAGAUCCAAUCUAGGAAAAAUAAUUCUGCCAAGAGAGUAGAAAACAGAAUGGAGUAAGGACAAGAAUUAAGGGGGAGUUGUGGAGAAGGAGGAAGAGAAAUUGGAAAGCGGUGAAUUAUACACGGGACACUCUUGCAGCCACAUUCCAUAAUCUUCCUGUACCUCUGUGGUCUCACGUUGUAUUUUCACCCAGUGUCUAUUUGGAAAAUCCUAUCUGUCAAAACCCACUUGCAGUAAAAGUAGGAUUUUAAGAUGAUUCCAAAGACUCCCACCUCAUAUAAUCCCUUCUCCUCGCGUGCUGCUAGGACCUGGGUAACUGAUGGAGUAUUAUUCCUAGGAUUAGAUUAGACCAGAAGGCUGGGUUGAAGGAGUUUCAUACAGGCAACUGAAGUCCCUGAUCAGCUGACUGUUAAUGGAAAGCUAAUGGAAGAGGAGAUUUUCCUGGAUGAGUCUCAUCUAAUUAGAUGAGCGCUUUAAUGAAAGGUCAACCUGUCAGAGAGAGAAGGGGCAGCAAAUGAUCUCUAGUUGGCCUUGAAGAAGGAAACCGCCAUUUGCCGAGGAGGUGCUGUGAUGAGGAAUAGCAGGUGACUCUGGGGGAUGAAUCUUCUAAUCCCAGUUUUCUAACUCUAAGGAACAGAAUUCUGCCAACAAAGCCUCUGAUAAGAUUUCAGCCCUGGCCAGCACUUGGCAUUAGCUGUCUGAAACACUGAACAGAAGAAUCGGUUGGGCCAUGCCUGGACUUCUGACCUACAGAAAGUUGCUUCUUAAGCUAGGUCUGUAAGCUUCCUCACAUUUGGUAGCAGUUUGUAGAGGCGUUUCCCCUUCUGAAUGGGAUAAGAUAGGUGGUGAUAGAAACAGUAUCUGAGCAGAGUCUGGAAGAAAGGGAGCAGUUGGAUUGACUGAACAAUAGCUAGUUGUCUGCAUACAACACUGGACUAGAAAAUGAGAGGUAGAAGCACCAACUGCCAGAAGCCAUCAUCAGGGGUCUGGAAAUUUUUCCAGAUCUUUCACAUAGCUUUCAAAACUAUUUUAAUUCUGGGAGGGCAGGUCGAGAUGGAUACAUUCAGUAUGCUGACUCUCAAGUCAAAUGAGGGUGAAAAGCUGAAGAUGUCACGCACACACACGAAUUCUAAUAGUGAUAACAGUAAUAACGAUAGUUUCUGGUACUGAAGGAAAAGAAGAACUGGGUCAUAAAUGGGUUAAUGCAAAAAAUAUAUAACCACUGAGCCUUCAUAAUCAUCUCCUCACUGCACCACCGUGUCUACUGGAUCACAAAUACAAAGAGGAUAAAAGGUUCUGUAGUAUAGUCAGGGGCUGGAUAUUUGAGACAAUGAAUCCAAGUAUGAUUACACAUUAAGUUAGGCUGGUGUUCGAACAUUUCUAGUAGAGCAGCACCAUGGUUUAUAUGCCUCACCCUGUAUUCCCAGUGCCAAGCACAGUGCUUGGCAAAUAAUAAGCCCUCAAUAAAUAGUGCAGGGUUGACUGACUUUCCGGGGAAACACAUCCUAAAGCUGAAAAUAAUAACAAAACUCUUAACUCAAUGAAAUCACUGAAAUCUACAGCUGGCAAACCUUUUCUCCCUCCCUUUUUUCAGGAGAUUAACUGCAGUACUUAACAUUUGUAAAGCAUUUCUGACACAUCAAAAUGGUCAGAGGGGACUGAAAAUUGAAUCCGUUAUUAUUAAUAAAUUGCCUUGUGGUCCCAACUCUCCCCUAGGGAUUUGGAGAUGGGAGAGAAAGGGAAAGUCACUUUCAAUGUUUCUCUCAAUGUCUUAAUUUGGGAAAACUUAAAAGUUUUUUCAGUGGUUCACUCUGAGGUCUGGGCAAAGGUUCAAGCCCAUUCCUAAGUUAUCUAAACUGAUUCAUCCUCCCCCGUCCAAAGCCAACAAUUGCGAAGGUUUGCAGCACAACUCUGCCCUCAGUGUACUUAGUGCUGAGAGGUUUUUAAUCUUUUUCUUGUUGGUCUCCUUAUCUUCUGGUGCUUCUCUGUCUCAUCCCCUUUUCCAGAGGCUCCCAACAUAAUCAGCAUCUCCUGCAGCUGAUGACAGACACAAGAAGCCGAUGGACUAAAAGGUUAAUGGAAGGGGAAUGAGUCAGUGCCCCAGGCAUCGAUAGAACUUCCUGGAUCCCUGGAAAAUGGCACAAAAAAAUUAGGCACAACCCAUCAGCACACUGAAUAUUGUGAGAGAAAUCUUUGUGACCUGUGAUGACCUGGGAAGGCUUUGUGAUCAAGGUGGGACUUGAUGUGGACUUUAAGUGAUGGAGAGCAUUUGAAAAGAAAGAAGUUGGGAAGGCCUUUCAGGAUUUGGAAUGAGCCAGAGACAUCCGAAGGACGUGAUGCACUUUGAAAUCGAUCAGAAAGGAGGGGGAAAGGUGAUUUUACGAAGAUAAAAUAAUUCUUUGCAAACUCGGGUUCAAGUUACAAACGUGAGUAAUACGGAACAUGUGUCUGUUCCAAUAGUUCAACCACAGUCUAAUAAUUCAACCACAAAUCACAGGUACUGUCAUUGCAGCAAUAUGGUUCUAAGAAGUCUCCUCUGUAAGUAACACCAAAUUUGGGAACUUUCAUCACAACAGUGUGGAAUAAUAAAGAAUUUCACAAAGUUUGUUGUCAUCAUCGUCACCACCACCACCAAGAAACCUUUGUUGACUUUUUUGACAAUAGACAAGAAACUCUAUCUGUAAUCAGUUAAACCAAGGCCUAUAUACCUAAACUCCUUGUUGAGAUAAUGGCAAACAUGUUUUUAAAAUAAAUCAGUUUGCAAAUAAUAAGGAGAGGAGCUGUACCAUAACCUUCAAAUCGAGAUGAGUCCAACAGAGUGUUUGCAGAAAGGCGUCUUUGAAAGGGAUCUAGUUCGUCACCUUUAACAUCUGCAGUUGAAGAUGUUUUCUUCUAAGGUACAGUGGCUGGGCCACUUGGUUUUGUUAAUUGACACCCUCUUGGCCUGAGGUCCAUACCCUCCACCCUCUUUCCACUCCUCCCCCCUGCCCAGCUGGUGUCUGGGUGUGGGGCUGAGGAGAGACAAUUGCACAACACACGGCAAGGAAGGGACAGACUUUGGCAACAGGGCCCCCGGAGAUCCAAUCCAGCUGCUUUAAAAAGGAAUGUCAUGGCAGGUCCCCACCCUGCCCCUGACGAAAUCGCAAGUGAUCUUGGAAAAGCUGUAAGACCAACUUGCUGAUUUGUGCAGAUGUGGUGAAGGCAGGCAGCCCAGCCUGCAGCACAAAGGGGACCCAGGAGCUCCUAGAACCAGCGCCACCACCACGGCGUUCCGUGACCCCGGGGCAAGGUGGGAAACCCUGCCCGCUCUUUCUUAACUCAGGAAUAGACACAAAAAUAACUAUUCCCGUUUCUAGGGGACAUUGUGAGGACACGCCAGAAAUAUGAAGGGAGUACAAAAAUGCUGAACACUGUCACGGAGGAGAAAGGAGAAAUGAGAAGACUUAGGCAGACUUCAUAGAGAUAUAGAUUUAAAUUCCAGGAAACGCUCAAAGGGUGACACAGGAUGAAUGUGGUAGAAGUGGGACAGUGUAGAAUGAGAAACGCGGCAUAUUAUUAUGGAGGCAUCUGAUUAAAUAGCCAUUCAAUGUGUGUGCACUGGGCAGGUUUCAGAUCACACUUGGGAAUCUCUGAUUUGAUCAAUAGCAACCACAGGAGACAAGCAAGGCAGCCAACAUCAUUGCCAUUUGUAAAUAAAAAUACCAAGGUUCAGAGAGUCUUGGUGAAGCAGCACUGCCAAGUAAGAACAAGUUUAGAAUUAAAAAGUAUUUAAGGGCUUAUUGAGGAAGCUGUGUCAAAGACAGAUUUUUAUUCUGAGGAAUACUCUCGAAGAUUCUAUCUGCCGUUUCACUCGAAGGUGUGAAUCUGUAAAUAAGCCAGAGCCAGAAGGCUGAUUUCAGAAUCGGGUCUUUGUUCCUGACAAUGUUUAUUAGACGGUCAGGUGGAAAUACAUGUCCAUAAAGAUGGACUUCAUAAGGAUUAUUUACUUAAGAAGAACCCACAGAGACUAUACAGCCAACUGAAAUAUUGUAAGUAAAUCUUUAAGAGGCCAAGUGUCUCCUCUAGGAGGGUUUAGAUGAGACGAAGAUGUGCCCCACAGAAAGGUGGGCAGGAACUCUCUGCUGAAGGCUCUCUUCCUCCUUUGUGCCACCCCUGCCCCCACAAACUUUUACUUUGAAAUCCUUUUCAAAUGUACAGAGAAGCUGAAAGAGGAGUGUGGUGACAGCCCGUAUCCCAGCCCGUGUGUGAACGAUUUGUACACUCAUCGUGGGUAUU